AGAGACUGAUUAUGCAGAUUUCAAAAAAACUGAAAAAGAUGGAGAAAGAGGAGGACAAGGAGGAGGAAGAGGGAAGUAAAAGAAAAGAGAAGGCAGCAUAUGGAUUAGAGCUUCCCUUAAGAGGAAUCUUUUGUGGCACAGGAUGGCACAUUAAUCCUCCAGGUUUCCACCAAACUCUUGCUGAGACAAUCACUCCAAGGGAACAAUAGUAUGUACUGUUGCAGCUUUACUUGGAUGCGAGUGGUGCUUAGAUUGCAUAACAUGUCACUUUAAACGACGCUUUGAUUUAUUGUACAACGUUAGGAUGAAUAAGAAUAAGCAUUUCAAAGGCUGGUGUACACAUUUAUUUUUAGGAAUCAUAAUUGUUUAAUGAGGCAUAUAUUGUUUCUACAUACAACAAAUUAAACAUAGGAAGAUUGCAACAAGUAUAUACAGGAGUUACACAAAUGGGAAUGGGAGAGGACAGAGAG